AGAGUUUGAUCAUGGCUCAGAACGAACGCUGGCGGCGUGCUUAACACAUGCAAGUCGAACGCGAAAGUUUUCUCUCGAGAAGAUGAGUAGAGUGGCGCACGGGUGAGUAACGCGUAAAUAAUCUACCCUUGCAUCUGGGAUAACCCACCGAAAGGUGUGCUAAUACCGGAUACGUUCUUUUUAUCGCGAGAUUUUAAGAAGAAAGGUGGCCUCUGAUAUAAGCUACUGUGCAGGGAGGAGUUUGCGUACCAUUAGCUAGUUGGCAGGGUAAUGGCCUACCAAGGCAACGAUGGUUAGCGGGUCUGAGAGGAUGAUCCGCCACACUGGAACUGGAACACGGACCAGACUCCUACGGGAGGCAGCAGUGAGGAAUAUUGCGCAAUGGGGGCAACCCUGACGCAGCGACGCCGCGUGGAUGAUGAAGGCCUUCGGGUCGUAAAAUCCUGUCAGAUGGAAAGAAGUGCAUAUGUAUUAACAGUAUGUAUGUUUGACGGUACCAUCAAAG
rnacentral:rRNA from 1 species